CUCAGUGAUAGAGCUCAUGGAUAGAACUCCCAUGGAUUCAAUCCCCAGUACCAGAAAGAAAAAAUGAAAAAUGUUAACUCAAUGUGAUAAGUUCAGUGAUUCCAAAGACUUAAAUUAGUACAUGCUUAUAUAUCUUAACCUGAAAAAUUAAUUAUUUGAAUAAGAUAAUUAUUAGGUUUUGUACAAUAACCAUCCUAUAGUUUUACUAAGGAAUCUGUGCUGUUUCUCUGUGUGUGUGUGUGUUUUGUGUUCUUUCCUUUUCUUUGGGGGAACUACCUUUCAUUUCUUUCCUUGUAUUAUUGAACACAGGGGUCACUUAACCACUAAGCUCUUUAAAUAUUUUAUUGUGAGAGGUAUCUAUAAGUUUCUCAGGGCCUCACUAAGUUGCUAAAGCUGGCUUUCAACUUGCCAUCCUCCUGCCUCAGUCUUCUGAGUCCAGGCGUUUGCUACUGUUGGGUAGGAGUUCAGGGACACCAAAAUGGUGGAGACAAAAUAUUAAAAUGAAGCAGCUGGAGGAUAAGGAGACAGUCCUGUCCCUGUUUACAAUAAAUCCUAUUACCAUGACAACUCCCACCACAGGUUCAAAUUUUAAAAUGACCAAUGGAAGUAAAGUGGGAAGUAUUCUAAUUAGGUUUUCUAAAGUAAUUAAUGGGGGGGAAGUUGGAAAAUAUUCUUUUUUUGUUGUUCUUUUUAGAUAUACAUGAAAGUAGAGUAUAUUUUUACAUAUUAUACAUACAUGGAAUAUAAGUUAUUCUAAUUAGGAUCCAAUUCUUUUUUUAAUUUAUUUUUUAGUUGUAGAUGGAAACAAUACCUUUAUUUUAUUUGUUAUUUUUUCAUGUGGUGCUGAGGAUCCAACCCAGUGCCUCACGCAUGCUAGGCAAGCGCUCUACCACUGAGCCACAACCACACCCCCUAGGAUCCCAUUCUUAUGGUGGUACAUGAUGUGGAGUUUCACUGGUGGAGUAUUCAUAAAUGAACAAAAUUGGUAAAUAUUCUAAUUAGGUGCCAUGAGAUAACCAAUGGGGAAAAAUGGGGUAAAGUCUUCAAUCAGAUCCAUAUAAGGAAGAGACACCCCCAUAGUUCAGGAUAUAAAACCCUAAUUUCCAGACACUGGGACCUUGAGUCCUCCACCCCUCCUUCUCUCCCCCCCCCAACCUUUCUCUCUCUCUUCCAGCCCACUCCAUUCUACCUAAUGGAGUACCAUCUUCACCUCCAAUAAAUCUAUACUCUGUUACUUCUGUGUGUCUCACUCAAUUCUUUGUUCAGGACACCAAAGACAUGGAAUUUGAUUGGAUAUCAUAAUGGUACCAUUUUGAUGAGCCAGCCAGAAGGUGAGCCCCUUUCCAAGGGGCACUGAGGAAUUGAGUGUCCCCAUUCCAGAAGAUGGACUAGGUCAGUCAAGACCAUAGCAGCACAGACCCUCCUGGAUGGAGAAAAUGUUGACUGAGGAUACCGGAGGUGGCCACAGAAGCUCCUAUGUGACAUUACCAUCUCUCUUGAGGAACGUCAGGUAAUCUUGGAUGUUAUGGGUAAGGAAAUCCAAUUCUUUGCCAAUAUAGGGGCGAGGUGCUCUGCUCUGACUGCUUAUACAGGAAAGCCUUCUUCAAGGUCCAUUUUUGUGGUAGGCCUUGAUGGUAGAAAAAAAAAAAACUUUACCCAUCUCAUACUUUGCCAAUUUGAUAAUCUGUUUUUUAUUCAUGAAUUUCUAACAAUCCCCAGCUCUUCUCUUCCACUGCUAGGAUAAGAUAAAAUGGCCAUACUGGGGGUAUUCCUCCACUGGGGAUACAAACCCCAAACACCCCUCGUGGCCAUUUGUGAUCCUGUACCUCAAGAGAUUAAUUCUCAAGUAAAUACUUUAGCUUGUAAGCAGGAAGGUCAGGAAAAGUUAUUUAUACUUUUCCAGUAUAUGUAACCCUAAAAGAUGCUAGCCAUUACCCAAAUAAAAACAAUAACCUUUAAAAGAAAAGGUAAAAAGGGGAUUACAACCUAUUAUACAUGAGCUAGUUCAAUAUAGACUUCUUAAACCUGCAAUCCCCCAAUAACACCCCAAUUUUAACCAUUCUAAAACCUAACAGGUAAUACUGGCUAGUACAAGACCUGAGACUUGUUAAUGAAGCUGUAUACCCCUUAGUUGCAGACCUUUAUACCUUGCACUCCCAAACACCAGGAGAUACUACUUGGUUUACAGUAUUGGAUCUCAAGAAUGCAUUCUUCUCAAUCCUAUGGCAUUUUUCAUCCCAAUAUCUUUUUGCUUUUGAAUGAAAAUCCUUUUAAUAAGGAAAGACAACAACAUUCAUGGACAAUCCUCCCCUAGGGGUUUAGGGAUAGGGUUUUGUCUGGGUCCUGGCAAGGGACAUAAGGGAUCUCAAACUCAAUCGGAGAGGAAUCCUUCAAUAGGUAGAUGACCUACUAAUAUGUAAUCCAACUAAGGAUAUCUCUACCAAAACACCGUACAAACACUCAAUUUCUUGGUAGAAGGAGUAUUCAAGGUAUCUAAAAAGAAAGUCCAAAUCUCUCAAAAUAAGGUGCAAUCUUUGGAAUAUAUACUAACUCCAGGGACCAGACAAAUUUCCCCAGAUAUGAUAAGGGUCAUUUGUCAGUUGGGUCCACCAGUUAAUAAACAACAGCUGUGCUCCUUUUGGGCAUGGAAGGGUUCUAUAGAAUCUGGAUCCCAAACUUUGACCUUAUUGCAAAUCUCCUCUAUAAAAGCAUAAAAGGGCCAGACUCAGAGCCCCUAGAAUGGAAUGCAGAAAAUGAAACUGACUUUGGGGGCAUUGAAGCAGGUACUUAGCCAGGUUCCAGUCCUAGGAAUACCUAACCUAACUGAGCCGUUUACCCUUUAUGUGGCAGAAAGAAAGGGAAUAGCUACAAAGGUACUAACACAAGACCUGGGGGUCCAACACAGGCCAGUAGCUUAUUUCUCUAAGAAAUUAGAGGUGGGUAACUACAAGGUGACCAGGAUGUUUGUGAGUGGUGGUAGCCACAACCCUUCUGAUAAUAGAGGCUACUAAGAUUACUUUAGGGCAACCUCUUAAGUUCUUCACCCCACACCAGGUUAAAACCACCUUGGAAACAGAAAGGCAUUUACGGAUAAUUGGAUAAAGACUUACAAAAUAUUAGACAGUUGUCUUGGAUAAUGCUGAGGAUAAUAUCAGAACAUAUAAUACUCUCAAUCCAGCCUCUCUAAUUCCCAUUGACCUCCUAGCUGAACAUUCAUGUGAGGAAGUAAUGCUCCAGUCCUAUGCCAGUCACCCAGACCUAUCUGACCAACCUCUGUCUAACCCAGAGGAAGAAUGGUUCAUGGAUGGUAGUAGUUUUGUCUGAAAUGGUCAAGGGAAGGCUGGAUAUGCAAUAGUAAGAACAGAAAAAUUAAUAGGAGCUCACCUCUUGCCCUCAGGGACUUCAGCUCAAAAGGCUGAGCCAAUUGCCCUAACUAGAGCCUUAAUAAAAGGACAAGAUAAAAUGCUCACUAUAUAUGCAUGACUCCAAAUAUGUGGUUUUGGUGUUUUGUGCCCACGCAACCAUUUGGAAAGGAAGAGGCCUCUUGGCCACUUGACAAUCCCCCAUUAAUAAUACAGAAUAAAUAUUGCAGCUGUUGGAAGCUGUGACUCUCCCCAAAAGAGUGGCUGUCAUACACUUCUGGGGACAGCUAAAGGACAUAUCAAAAGCAUCCCAAGUCAACAAAAGAGCUGAUCAAAUAGCCAUUGAGGCAGCCAUGAUUGUAGGUCCAACCCUGGUUAUGGCUUUAUUCCCAUUCCAGGAAGACAAAUUACACCCAAUCUAUACUCCAGAGAAGGAAUAGGUUGCUCUCAGGGCAGAAGUCACUAAAGAAGGAAAAUGGUGGGAAAGGGAUGGAAAACUUUAUCUGCCAUGUCAAUUCAAUGGAACACCAUUAAAAUGUUACAUGACUCUUUCCACCCAGGGUGAGAGGUCACCUGUGGAAUGGCUAUCGGACUUUUUCUGGAUGCUGGCCUAAACAGAUGCUGACAGACAUCUUCAGGGAUUGCUCUUUUGCUCCUAUAAUAAUCCUGGGCCCGGACUCCCCCCACUGGUUGAACCUAUACAACACAGGGUAACAUAUCCAGGAGAAGACUGACAGAUGGAUUUUACCCAUAUGCCUGCUUGCUGACGAUUUAAAUACCUGCUUGUCCUAGUAGACACUUUUACUGGGUGGGUUGAAGCCUACCCCACAAGGACAGAAAAGGGUAUAGAAGUAGUGAAAGCCCUACUAACAGAAAUAAUUCCUAGAUUUGGGCUUCCCUAAAGCUUACAGAGUAACAGUGGACUUUGUAUCCCAGGUCACACAAGGGGUUGCGAAAGCCUAGGGAAUUACAUAGCAUCUACAUUCAGCUUGGAAACCCCAAUCAUAGGGAAGGUAGAAAGAACUAACCAGACCCUAAAACAGACCUUAGUUAAACUCUGUCAGGAAAUCUCUGAAAUAGGGUGACCUUACUACCCAUCACCCUCAUGAGAAUUUGAAAUGCAUAUAGGACCCAGCUAAAUAUCAGCCCUUAUGAGAUGCCAUAUGGGCGGCCAUUUCUAUCAAAAGAACUUGUGCCAGAUCAGAAUCUGUUGAACUCAUUAAAUACCUAACAAUUUGGGAAAUUCCAACUAGAUAUUCAAGCCAUAGGAAACUAUGUCCUUUCAACUCCUAAAGAGGGAGAAACCUUUCAGGUUUUACCUGAAGAUCAGGUGUUUACCUGGAGAACAGAUGUUAAUAUAAACAUGGAAGGAAGGAUCCUCAGAGGAUCAGUGGAAGCCAAAAUGGAAAGGUACAUAUCAGGAAUUCUGGCUACACCCACAACUAUAAAAUCAGUGGAGAUCAACAACUGGAUUCACCUGCCAAAGGUGAAGCAAGCAUUGCCUGACCAUUACACCCCUCUUGAGGAAACUUGGACCAGUGAGCCAGUUGAAGACCUCAAGUUCAUUUUCAAGAAGCAACCACCAAAAGAUAUGUGAAUGUCUCCUGAUCUUAUACCCCACCUGAGGUGGGCUCCAAUUCUGGGAAUUAUCUUCCUCUGUGGGUUUCUUGUGUUUGGGAUUCUGCUACUUCUAAGACUCUAUUCUCAAGGAUAAGGCCCUUUGCUGUCUCUUUAACAUGGGGCUACUUUCCCAGAGGACUGCUAUCCUAGUUUUCCCCAUUUCUCAUCCUGACCUUAGGACUAACUUUUACCCUAUGACCAGUAAUUGGCUCAAAUCAGCAUCUGGGAGGAUUUUGGGAUUGGAUGUACCUUUUGAAAACUUUAAACCUUACUUGUCAACUCCUAAAACAAUCACAUCCUGGAUUGGCUCAGGACUGUUGGCUGUGCCUGUCAUCAAACUCUAUAGAAAACACUGCCAUUCCUGUCUCUGCCCCAAUAGGUGCUACUAGCAAAAUGAGUCUCCAUCAUAAAUACGAAGGGAAUUUAUGAUUCUGCAUUCCAGCUAAUGACCUUAGAUGCUUUUUACAACUUCCAAAUUGCAGAGAUGACCAAAAUCCACAAUGAAUAGAAGGACAGUUUAACUCCUCCAGUCCUAUCAAAAUAAUCUUCCUAAAACUUCAUCUUGUCUGCUAAUAUGAGGAUUUAUUAUAACCCAAACCAGGCUCAAGUUCCAGUGCCCCUCUAUGUCCAGAGGGAAUAAAAUUCUGGGUAUAACUUGGAAACAUUAGAAAGCCAUCUUUGCAACCAUACCUUAAAAAUUACCCCACAGAAUGGCCACUUUAAUUCCAUUGUGAUACAAGUUGCCCCCUUUAGAAAACGUGUAUGGUUCUCAUUUAAACCUUUUUUAAAGAAGGACACAUUAUUAAAUAAACACUCAGGCUAUUGUCAAAAUAUAUCCUCUGCCUAUAGAGACAUCUUCCCUUGGGAGGUCUGAUCGAACCCAGCCUUUACUGAGUGCUUACUUGUACCUAAUUAUCAAAACUCAAACAAAUGGAUUCUAAUUGACAUAAAAAGAACUCCUUGCAUUGGGAAAAUAAAACCUUGGAAACAAUCCCAGACCAGUCCCAUGGCCCCUUCCAACCUCUGACAGGGGUUACACUGGAUGGAACCCUAUCAAUAUGGGAGUCUGAAAAUAAUGAAAUAACUACAUAUUUUAUCAAACUCAGUUUCUGUAUGGAAUCACCAGGAAUCUUUGUAUUUUGUUGAAAAAAUUUUACUUGUGUCUACCAGCAAGGGCUAUAUUCAAAGCAUAAAAUAGACCAGUGUCACAUAGGUAUGGAAAUAUAUUUUAGUAUGGAAAAUUAGAAAGUAAAAGAAAUGUUUCUAGAUAAGAAAACAUUUUAUCUGGUAAAGUAAUAUUUUUGUGCUAAAGUCCAAGAUGUAAGAGAAGACAAAUCUAAGGAAGUAAACAAGUGGUACAAUGUAUAAGUAAGUUGCAGAAGGUUUAUGGAAGGUAAAUCUCAAAAAGUUUGGGUAUAUGAUUAAAUUGGCUAAAAUCAGCACAUUUAUUAACUAUAUUCAAAUUUUAAUGUAAUGAUAUGAAGCAAAGUCUGAAACAUUGAUCUGCUCUUAUCUGUAUAAUUUUCUUGUAUCUGUUAGGUUUUAUUGUUUAGAUGAACUAAAUCUGAAAGGAAUUAGACUUUUUACCUGUUUUAAAGUCUUUUAAAUGAUUUCUUCAUAACUGGUUAAAUAAACAAACUGUUAUUUCAGGUUAUAACAAUAUAGUUUACAAUUGAGGGGAGUGAGGGGAGGAUGGGGUUGUGGGAAUGGGAAGGACAGUAGAAUGAGACAGACAUUAUUACCCUAUAAACAUGUAUGAUUACAUUACUGGUGUGACUGCACCAUGAGAUGCUAUAUGGACACCAAAGGAAUGAGAAGUUGUGCUCCAUUUGUGUACAAUGUGUCAAAAUGCAUUCUCCUGUCAUGUAUAACUAAUUAGAACAAAUGGAAAAAAUAUAAUAAAAUCAAUCAGCUUAUUAGCAUUUUUUUCUGUUGAAUUCUAUGAUUUACUUGUAUAUUUUGGAUCCUAAAUGUUAUUAGAUACAUGGUUUGUAAAUAUUUUCUUCCAUUCUAUAGGUUGCCUUUUUGCCCAGUUGAUUGUAUCCUUUGCUAUACAGGGGAUUUUACUUUGAUUCAAUCCUACUUGUUUCUGC
rnacentral:lncRNA from 1 species